CUUUGAAAUUGUAUAUCACAAACAGAAAAGCUUGUAGCCUUGGAGAAAAUGAGUCUCAUUUAAAUGACUACACUAGUGAGACCAAGUCCAUCCAUUAUAAAGUUCUGUUACCACAACUUUCUCACUUUGUAAUGAGUCAUACAUCCCAACUCAGUAAUGCUUGUAAAAUUUGAGACAGAAGCAGUUAUGGCAAGUAGGAUAAAUCCUUUGGCAGCAAGGUUUAGUGGGAGUACACUGAUCUGAUUCGCCUGCUUUAAGCCUUCAGCUGAAUAUAUUGAUAAAUUCACAUAACUUGUUUUUUGUAGCACGGUGUAAACAUGCCUGUCGUAUCCUGCUGUGGGGUUCUUUGAAUAUAGCUAUGGUGGAAAUAGAGAUUUGUUACAUAAUAAAGAGAUCGUCUUGGGAGCCAGUGCAGAUGUAGAGGCCUUAACACAUUUCUUAAAGCACAGACCCCACAUGUCCUCCCAGAAUAAUACUCAGAUAACUUGGGUAUAGGUGCUUCUCAUUGCUAGAAAAACAUGGAAAGCUCUACAUAUUUAUUUAUUUUUUAAAACUUUUUGGGGAUCAAACUGUUAAACUUUUCACAGGUGGUUGGAUUGCAUAUUUUCCUCAUUUUCUGGGCACACAGUGUGAAAUUCUGGAGUCUGAUUUGCACAGGUGCAGAGUACACACAGCUGCAAGAGAAGUCAAUGAUAGCUGUGGAGUGAACACAUGAAAUGCUCUAUAAAGCUGAAAUGCAUCUUUAACAUUGUAAAGCCAUAUACUGAACUACUUUACUGAUUUUUUCAGGGGUAAGAAAAUGAUGAGCCAUAUGCAGGCACUUGGAGUAAAAUCUUACAUGAAAAGUUGUUGAAAUUUGACAAGAUUAUAUUAAAGUGAAAACCCAGUCUUUGUAUGAAUGCAAUGUGUUAAGCACUCUUAAGAAAAGGUGACAUAGUCCCAGUCUGAUUUAUGAUAGCUGUUUUUAGAAUCCCUAUUUUUCAUUAUAAAAACCUUUCUACUGUGGCAGGAAAAGUUUAACAUCAACUAACAGAAGCUUAUUUUCAAUUCAAAAUUAAUGGCUGAGAUCUUUUUCUUCCAAAUGCUAAAAGCACUUAAAACACGAGUGGCUAAUUGACUGUCAACUUUACUUCAGUUAAUGGUAUUUUGCAGGUACUUAAGUUUAAAGAGGUCUAUACUCUUUUUGCUCUGUCCAACACUUUGGAAUCCUAAUAUUCCCUGUUAACGGAAAUUUGCAUUAACUGAAGAGAGAAGAAUAUAACCUUUUGUAAGAUACACAAUUGAAAUGAAGCUUUAAAUUCAGAUAAUAUGAAAAGAUAAAGACAGCCUGAAACUGCAAGAGACAAGCCAAGAGAAACAAAGAAAAUUGAGUUUUUCUUGCGGUUUGUCACAUAGAUUGCUGCUACAUUCAAAGAAAAGUAACCCGCUUCCCAGAAACUUCUUAUAAGACUGGAAAAACACUGCCUCCGCAGCUCCUACAGUUCUCCACUGAUACAUGCAGUUCUCUUCUACCCAGUCCUUGGACCCAAGGCUUCAGUGUUUUUUGUUAGAGACUGGAAAGAAAUGAGGCUUCAAAAUCCCUGCUCUCUUCAGUCCUCCUAGCUUACAGGCUCCUAAUGGAAACAGACUGAAACAAUCUUAAGCUGCUAUGGUUUGAAAACUUGAAAAAUAGAUUAUUAUGGUGAGGCAAAAAAUGCCAGGAAGUUGAUAACCUACACACUAAGGCUCAGCCCAGCAUGAAUCAAAGAGACAGUUAUGAAGUCUUGGAAAAUGGCAAUUGUAAUGAAAAUGUCUACUGACCCUUGACUAAUAGUGUCAGCAACCCAACAGUGCUUAAUUAUUAAAAUCAACACAUGUCCUGCACUGACAGCCCAAUGUUUUGAACUGCAUUAUUCUCAUGAAGAGGAAGAAACAACAGAUAGCAGUAACAAACCUCCCUUCUUUAUUUAUUUUUAUCUGCUCUCUCUUUUUGCUGUUCCGUUGUACAGCAGAGUUAGAAAGGUCAGCAUGAUUACCUCUUCCAUGGAUUUGCUAAGAAUCAGUGUUUCCCUUAAUAAACCAAACAUAAACUGCAGCAACUAAAGACAAUUAAGAUGCAUUUGUGUAACCUCUACCUUAAAAAGGGAGGGCAUGUUGUGGUGCAACAUAUUGAAUUCCAUAAUAAUAACAGGGUCAUAGGAUCACAGCAAAAUUCAGGUUGGUAGGGAGAGCAGAAGGUCACUAUUCCAGCCUCUAAGAAAAUAAAUUACACCUUUUUAGUCCAGUGUUGAAGUCCUUCAGAAGUUGUCUGUUUCCAGUGCUGCUAGGAAUGUGAUCAAGUGGGAAAAAGUUUAUGUCCUUUGAAAAAAACAGGUGGUUAUCAAUUAACUUCAGAGACUGCUGUAUGUGGUACUGCAGACUUCAGGUCCAUUACUCUGUCAGAAUAUUCCCCUUUUUCCUUUCCCACAUUUUAAAAAUGCCUUCUCCACUUUGUUUAACUAGUAAUGGUGUGAAAUUCCUUCUGAAAUACUGUUAUGAUGGGAACACUGGCAGGUCUGAGAAAUUGAUGUGGUUAUUCCUGAGAAGCUAAUUAAAAUGCUUACAAAAUAAUCUGAAAAUGCUCAGUUUUCUCUUCUAAGUUUUAAAUUGUGUUAUCAGGAUGUUUAACUGAUGUUUCAGACUUUUUUAUAAGCUUAAAAUUGAAUAGUUAUAAGAGAAACUUGCAUUAGGUUUUCAAAAUGGGAAAGCAUAUUUUGA